rnacentral:sRNA from 1 species
UUGCCGCUGGACGGGGCGGGCCGCGAGGGUUGGGGAACCCGGUGACCGGGCCGCCGUCGAGGUCGGGACGGGUAUUAGGGAGCCCGGGCCGGCCGCUCCGGCGAAGGAG